GUUACGCUAAUACCGCAUACGAUCUACGGAUGAAAGCGGGGGAUCGCAAGACCUCGCGCGAAUGGAGCGGCCGAUGUCAGAUUAGGUAGUUGGUGGGGUAAAGGCUCACCAAGCCAACGAUCUGUAGCUGGUCUGAGAGGACGACCAGCCACACUGGAACUGAGACACGGUCCAGACUCCUACGGGAGGCAGCAGUGGGGAAUUUUGGACAAUGGGCGCAAGCCUGAUCCAGCCAUUCCGCGUGCAGGAUGAAGGCCUUCGGGUUGUAAACUGCUUUUGUACGGAACGAAACGGUCUGCCCUAAUACGGUGGGCUAAUGACGGUACCGUAAGAAUAAGCACCGGCUAACUACGUG
rnacentral:rRNA from 1 species